CAACAGCUCAAAUUUGAAAUCUGGCUUCGGCCCGAGUUGUAAUUUGUAGAGGAAGCUUUUGGUGAGGCACCUUCUGAGUCCCCUGGAACGGGGCGGCCAUAGAGGGUGAGAGCCCCGUACUAGUCGGAUGCCGAUCCAAUGUAAAGCUCCUUCGACGAGUCGAGUAGUUUGGGAAUGCUGCUCAAAAUGGGAGGUAAAUUUCUUCUAAAGCUAAAUACCGGCCAGAGACCGAUAGCGCACAAGUAGAGUGAUCGAAAGAUGAAAAGCACUUUGAAAAGAGGGUUAAAUAGCACGUGAAAUUAGUUGAAAGGGAAGCGUUGUGACCAGACUUGCGCCGUUCCGUAUCAUCCGGUGUUCUCACCGGUGCACUCGGGGCGGGCUCAGGCCAGCAUCGGUUUUGGUCGGGGGGGAGUAAAGGUCCGGGGAACGUAGCUCCUCCGGGAGUGUUAUAGCCCGGGCGUAAUGCCUCG
rnacentral:ncRNA from 1 species